CCUACGGGUGGCAGCAGUGGGGAAUAUUGCACAAUGGGGGAAACUCUGAUGCAGCGAUGCCGCGUGAGUGAAGAAGUAUUUCGGUAUGUAAAGCUCGAUCAGUAGGGAAGAAAAUGACGGUACAUGAUUAAGAAGCACCGGCUAACUACGUGCCAGCAGCAGCGGUAAUAAGUAGGGGGCAAGCGUUAUCCGGAUUUACUGGGUGUAAAGGGAGCGUAGACGGCAGCACAAGUCUGGAGUGAAAUGCCGGGGCUUAACACCGGAACUGCUUUUGAAACUGUGCAGCUAGAGAGCAGGAGAGGUAAGUGGAAUGCCUGGUGUAGCGGUGAAAUGCUUAGAGAUUAGGAAGAACACCAGUGGCGAAGGCAGCUUACUAGACUAUAACUGACGUUGAGGCUCGAAAGCGUGGGGAGCAAACAGGAUUAGAUACCCUUGUAGUC
rnacentral:rRNA from 1 species